GUUAACAGAAUUAUCAACAGAAAAUUCAGGGCCUGGGAGAGGCAUGAGCAGGUGGACAAUGGUACCCAAUGGGAGAAAACUAAUUUAAAAAAAAUCAAAAGCCCAAGUAAACAUUAUGUACUUCUGCACCUCCACCAUUGACCGCAGUCUCUUUCCUGUUGGUGCUUGAUAGUAGCUAAAAUAAAA